rnacentral:tRNA from 1 species
AAAUAUGAAUCAUUUAAAUAUUUAUGAAUUUAAUUUCGACUUAAAAAAAGAGUAACUCUCCAUAUUUA